GUUGUGCGGGAUCCCUCAGCCGUCUCGCACCGUCUUUUGAAGUGGAAGGCAUUAAGUGCUGACCAAUUGGAUUACAUUUGGAAUGCUGCGAAGGAUCCGUUCGAGGCUACUAAUGGUCCUAUUGAUUCUUUUCGAAAGACCGCAAUGGGACACGUCAGACAAAUAUGGGAUAGAUGGCGCUCGGAUUUGCACAAGGAAUAUAUCCGCAUCCAUAAAGGAGACGAGGCCGCGGUACUUGCCAAUCCUCCACCAGACUACGAUCGAGAUGAUUGGGAGUUUGUGUGUCGCAACCAUUUCUUUACGGAGAAAUUUAAGAAAAAUAGUAACACAAAUAUAGCUAACAGAAAGCAGCUGAAAUUCCCGC